rnacentral:rRNA from 1 species
GUGCCAGCAGCCGCGGUAAUACAGAGGGUGCAAGCGUUAAUCGGAUUUACUGGGCGUAAAGGGCGCGUAGGCGGUUGAGUGAGUGUGAUGUGAAAGCCCCGGGCUUAACCUGGGAAGAGCAUCGCAAACGACUUAACUGGAGUAGGUGAGAGGGUGGCGGAAUUUCCGGUGUAGCGGUGAAAUGCGUAGAGAUCGGAAGGAACGUCAAUGGCGAAGGCAGCCACCUGGCACCAUACUGACGCUGAGGCGCGAGAGCGUGGGGAGCGAACAGGAUUAGAUACCCGCGUAGUCC